GGCACGUGGGAUUUUCCCGGACCGGGGCACGAACCUGCGUCCCCUGCAUCGGCAGGCGGAUUCUCAACCACUGCGCCACCAGGGAAGCCCCCAGGAGUGGGAAUAUUUUUGAAUGGGGGACAAGAGAUGAGGCAGGAACUGGCUGGGAUUGGAACAGGAGGAAGUGGACUUCACCGGUAGCUUGAAGGACUGGAAUGAGAACACGAAGAAUGCUGGAAUUUCUGGGAAAGGGAGGGCAUGUGCAAACACAAGAAUUGGAUGAAAAGUCGUAGGACAUUUACAACUCAGGAAAGAACAGAGCAAACAGCGGCUCAUUCCAAGGCUAGUGGUGGGACAUGGUGACCUUUCCAGGACACAGGAGCUUGUGGCUAUAAUUGAAAGGUGUUGAAAACUAGCUGAGCUCACAGGGCUCAUCCUGCUGGUCGCCUCUGCAGAGUCGAUCGUAUCAUCUCUAAUGAUCUAUUUUCAAAUUCACUCAUUCUUCUGCCAACUUAAAUAUACUGUUGAUCCCCUACAGUGAAUCUUUAUUUCAGGGGACAUGGAUUCGAGCCCUGGUCCGGGAAGAUCCCACAUACCGCAGAGCAACUAAGUCCAUGUACCACAACUACUGAGCCUGCACUCUAGAGCCCAUGAGUGACAACUACUGAGCCCGUGUGCCACAAUACUGAAGCCCACA